rnacentral:rRNA from 1 species
GAAAAACCAGAAAAGAAAUGGGAAAAAAAACAACUUU